UAUGGCCAUAUCACAUUGAAACACUGGUUCUUGUAUGAUCACCAAAGUUAAGCAAUGUUGAGUCUGGUCAGUAGUUGGUAUGGGUGACCAAUUUGGAAUGCCACGUGCUGUAAG